GGGAGGGAGCUCAUUCUCGACAUUAAUUUUUUGGCUCUCGGGGAACGUUUUUCUCUUGGUUGGAAAAUGGAGGAGGAGCUCAUGGUUUUUUAUGUUGGUUGAAUGAAUGAAUUAAGUCUUUCUUUUUCCCUUCCAUUAUGUGCAAUGUUGCAGCAUUUUCCUUUUCAUUUACCUUGGAGUUUCAGAUUGAAUGAGAAAGUUACUAGUCG
rnacentral:lncRNA from 1 species